GACCCGGUAGCGGAUGGUCCGCGUCUGCGUCUGAUGGGUAUAUAAGCAGUCUGCAGCAGAAUACACCUGUUCGAUUCAGGUCUGGGUCA